ensembl:lncRNA
AUGAAAUCCAAAUAAAAAUCAAUUUAAAUUACAGGUUUUAAUUCAACAAAAUAUGAAAAACACCAAGACUACACACAGAGAUAAUAGCCACAUCUCCUUUUGGCACUGUGUCACUGACUGGCUGGACAGGCUGAAGUGAACCCAUUACAGAGACAUUUUGAAUGUUGAAAUAAAGGCACUGAAAGAAAAGCAGAGGCCAUGCCAACACUCUGACUGACAGCUUGCUGCUAAUAAUGUUUCCCAACUGGGGAAAGUAAGGUGGUGCCCCAAAUUAAACCCUAUUCACUAAUUAGUGCACUACUUUAAAAAGUAGGGCACUACUGUAUACAGAAAAUAGGGUGCCAUUUUGGAUGCACACUAAAUCUACCCAACUGAAGGAGAUCGAUACAGAAUGGUAAUGAAGAGACUGCAAGGAAACGGACGGAUUACUAUAUCAAAUUCACUUAUAUCUCUCUAGUUGAAUCAUUUAAACAGGAAAUCUCAAAUAGAAAAUAAGUACAAAUAAACAUUUCCCAAUAAACUAUACUGUACACAAUCUGUACACAAUAUAUAGAUAUAUAGUUACAUACAUUCAUUUUAAGACAUUGAUUCAAAACGUGGCAAUGUAAGACACCAUACCUAGUGAUCUGACCUGCGACAAAUACAUUAUGUCAAAUACAUUAUGUCAAAAACCUAGAAAUAUUACAAAGUAUUUGAGGAUGACUUGGUUUAGCUUGGCGUUUACACUUCUGGGACCAUUCCAUUUGUUCAAUUGAGUCGGGCUAAAGUAAAUCAACCGCGGCUCGCAUAUUUGAAAGUAUUUGACCCAGGUCGGGCAUGCGAUUUAUGAUAUGAACUUAUUUAUCAGUCCAAAAACCUCUGCAUAUCUAAGAGUGCAGCAAACAUAAACAUAAUACCAAACAUAAAUGUAAUAUCAACCAUAAAGAUGACAAGCUUACAGCAGUCUUGUCGCAGGGUGAUGUCAUUAUGUGAAACCUUCAACCAUGAAUUUAAACCAGUUAGAGGUGCACGUACACAAAUCAAUUCAUCACAAUGUAUUACUGACGCAGCAAUAAUUAAACCAGUGGAGUAAAGUAAACAUCUCAACCCAUUCUAUGAAUGUAAAGCGUGAACACAAAGGCUUGCGUCCAAAAUGGCAUCCUAUUCCCUACACUGUGCACAAUGUAAGGAAUAGGGAAUACACUAUGUAGGGAAUAGGAUGCCAUUUUGUACACACCCUGAUAUCAGAAUUCUGAUGAGACAUCACAUUGCUACAGUUGGUUGGCAGGAUCUACAGUUAACUGUUGGCAGAACUCUCUAAACUUGAAACUGUGAAAACACCUCCCUCCC